UCGAUCUCAAAUCAGGUAGGAUUACCCGCUGAACUUAAGCAUAUCAAUAAGCGGAGGAAAAGAAACUAACAAGGAUUCCCCUAGUAACUGCGAGUGAAGCGGGAAGAGCUCAAAUUUAAAAUCUGGCAUGCCUCUGGCUGUCCGAGUUGUAGUCUGAAGAAGCGUUUUCCGUGUUGGACCGUGUAUAAGUCUCUUGGAACAGGGCGUCAUAGAGGGUGAGAAUCCCGUCUUUGACACGGACUACCAAUGCUUUGUGAUGCGCUCUCAAAGAGUCGAGUUGUUUGGGAAUGCAGCUCAAAAUGGGUGGUAAAUUCCAUCUAAAGCUAAAU
rnacentral:rRNA from 1 species